rnacentral:rRNA from 1 species
GCAUAUCAAUAAGCGGAGGAAAAAGAAACCAACAGGGAUUACCUCAGUAACGGCGAAGUGAAGCGGUAACAGCUCAAAUUUGAAAGCUAGCUCUAUUAGGGUUCGCAUUGUAAUUUGUAGAAGAUGCUUCGGGUGUGGCCCCGGUCUAAGUUCCUUGGAACAGGACGUCAUAGAGGGUGAGAAUCCCGUAUGUGACUGGGUGCUUUCGCUCAUGUGAAGCUCUUUCGACGAGUCGAGUUGUUUGGGAAUGCAGCUCAAAAUGGGUGGUAAAUUUCAUCUAAAGCUAAAUAUUGGCCAGAGACCGAUAGCGCACAAGUAGAGUGAUCGAAAGAUGAAAAGCACUUUGGAAAGAGAGUUAAACAGUACGUGAAAUUGUUGAAAGGGAAGCGCUUGCAACCAGACUUGCGCGCUGAUGAUCAUCCGGGCUUCUGCCCGGUGCACUCGUCUGCGCUCAGGCCAGCAUCGGUUUCGGUGGUGGGAUAAAGGCCUUGGGAAUGUGGCUCCUCUCGGGGAGUGUUAUAGCCCUCGGUGCAAUGCCGCCUACCGGGACCGAGGACCGCGCUUCGGCUAGGAUGCUGGCGUAAUGGUUGUAAGCGACCCGUCUUGAAACACGGACCAAGGAGUCUAACAUCUAUGCGAGUGUUUGGGUGUCAAACCCAUACGCGUAAUGAAAGUGAACGGAGGUGAGAACCCUUAAGGGUGCAUCAUCGACCGAUCCUGAUGUCUUCGGAUGGAUUUGAGUAAGAGCAUAGCUGUUGGGACCCGAAAGAUGGUGAACUAUGCGUGAAUAGGGUGAAGCCAGAGGAAACUCUGGUGGAGGCUCGCAGCGGUUUCUGACGUGCAAAUCGAUCGUCAAAUUUGCGUAAUAGGGGCGAAAGACUAAUCGAACCAUCUAGUAGCUGGGUUCCUGCCGA